rnacentral:rRNA from 1 species
GGGACUCGGUACUCUGCAUGGACGAAGUCUGACGGAGCAACGCCGCGUGAGUGAUGAAGGUUUUCGGAUCGUAAAGCUCUGUUGUUAGGGAAGAACAAGUGCAAGAGUAACUGCUUGCACCUUGACGGUACCUAACCAGAAAGCCACGGCUAACUACGUGCCAGCAGCCGCGGUAAUACGUAGGUGGCAAGCGUUGUCCGGAAUUAUUGGGCGUAAAGGGCUCGCAGGCGGUUUCUUAAGUCUGAUGUGAAAGCCCCCGGCUCAACCGGGGAGGGUCAUUGGAAACUGGGAAACUUGAGUGCAGAAGAGGAGAGUGGAAUUCCACGUGUAGCGGUGAAAUGCGUAGAGAUGUGGAGGAACACCAGUGGCGAAGGCGACUCUCUGGUCUGUAACUGACGCUGAGGAGCGAAAGCGUGGGGAGCGAACAGGAUUAGAUACCCUGGUAGUCCACGCCGUAAACGAUGAGUGCUAAGUGUUAGGGGGUUUCCGCCCCUUAGUGCUGCAGCUAACGCAUUAAGCACUCCGCCUGGGGAGUACGGUCGCAAGACUGAAACUCAAAGGAAUUGACGGGGGCCCGCACAAGCGGUGGAGCAUGUGGUUUAAUUCGAAGCAACGCGAAGAACCUUACCAGGUCUUGACAUCCUCUGACAACCCUAGAGAUAGAGCUUUCCCUUCGGGGACAGAGUGACAGGUGGUGCAUGGUUGUCGUCAGCUCGUGUCGUGAGAUGUUGGGUUAAGUCCCGCAACGAGCGCAACCCUUGAUCUUAGUUGCCAGCAUUCAGUUGGGCACUCUAAGGUGACUGCCGGUGACAAACCGGAGGAAGGUGGGGAUGACGUCAAAUCAUCAUGCCCCUUAUGACCUGGUCUACACACGUGCUACAAUGGACAGACAAAGGGCCUGCCGAGACGGCAAGGUUUAGCCAAUCCCUCAAAUCAUGUUCUCAUUUCAGUAU